UACAGAGGUCUCAAGCGUUGUUCGGAUUCAUUGGGCGUAAAGGGUGCGUAGGUGGCGCUGUAAGUCGGGUGUGAAAUCCUGGGGCUUAACCCCGGAACUGCAUUCGAUACUGCAGUGCUUUGAGGACUGGAGAGGAGACUGGAAUUCAUGGUGUAGCAGUGAAAUGCGUAGAGAUCAUGAGGAAGACCAGUGGCGAAGGCGGGGUCUCU
rnacentral:rRNA from 1 species